rnacentral:lncRNA from 1 species
UUUAUCUUCCUUGAAAGCAGUAACUAGAAACAGUUUAAAGAUAAGAAAGGGGGCUGAGAGGGCCUUUUGCUGUUGAAUAUGUCAUCCGUCUGCAGGUAUUACUUUUUUAUUGGAAGUAGAGGUUAUAUAAGAGAAUUAUGGUUCACUGUGUGGUCCCUCCUAUUAAUUCUCUGUAUUUAGAAAAAUAAUAAUGGCAUUUCACUUAAUCACAAAAGUGA